rnacentral:snRNA from 1 species
UUACAUAGUGUCUGAUUGGUAAC